UACAGAGGUCUCAAGCGUUGUUCGGAUUCAUUGGGCGUAAAGGGUGCGUAGGUGGCGCCGUAAGUCGGGUGUGAAAUUUCGGAGCUUAACUCCGAAACUGCAUUCGAUACUGCGGUGCUUGAGGACUGGAGAGGAGACUGGAAUUCUCGGUGUAGCAGUGAAAUGCGUAGAGAUCGAGAGGAACACCAGUGGCGAAGGCGAGUUCCUGGACAAGUCCUGACGCUGAGGCACGAAAGCCAGGGGAGCAAACAGG
rnacentral:rRNA from 1 species